rnacentral:rRNA from 1 species
GUGAGGAAUAUUGCGCAAUGGAGGCAACUCUGACGCAGCCAUGCCGCGUGCAGGAAGAAGGCGCUACGCGUUGUAAACUGCUUUUAACCGGGAAGAAACCCCAGGACGUGUCCUGGGUUGACGGUACCGGAGGAAUAAGCACCGGCUAACUUCGUGCCAGCAGCCGCGGUAAUACGAAGGGUGCAAGCGUUAUCCGGAUUCAUUGGGUUUAAAGGGUGCGUAGGCGGAGCGUUAAGUCAGUGGUGAAAUCCUGCAGCUUAACUGUAGACUUGCCAUUGAUACUGGCGCUCUUGAGUGCGCUUGAAGUGGGCGGAAUGUGCCGUGCAGCGGUGAAAUGCUUAGAUAUGGCACAGAACACCAAUUGCGAAGGCAGCUCACUAAGGCGAUACUGACGCUGAGGCACGAAAGCGUGGGGAUCGAACAGGAUUAGAAACCCCUGUAGUCC